rnacentral:rRNA from 1 species
UAAGAGCGGCGGACGGGUGAGUAACGCGUGGGUAACCUACCCUGUACACACGGAUAACAUACCGAAAGGUAUGCUAAUACGGGAUAAUAUAUUUGAGAGGCACCUCUUGAAUAUCAAAGGUGAGCCAGUACAGGAUGGACCCGCGUCUGAUUAGCUAGUUGGUAAGGUAACGGCUUACCAAGGCGACGAUCAGUAGCCGACCUGAGAGGGUGAUCGGCCACAUUGGAACUGAGACACGGUCCAAACUCCUACGGGAGGCAGCAGUGGGGAAUAUUGCACAAUGGGCGGAAGCCUGAUGCAGCAACGCCGCGUGAGUGAUGAAGGCCUUCGGGUCGUAAAACUCUGUCCUCAAGGAAGAUAAUGACGGUACUUGAGGAGGAAGCCCCGGCUAACUACGUGCCAGCAGCCGCGGUAAUACGUAGGGGGCUAGCGUUAUCCGGAUUUACUGGGCGUAAAGGGUGCGUAGGCGGUCUUUCAAGUCAGGAGUGAAAGGCUACGGCUCAACCGUAGUAAGCUCUUGAAACUGGGAGACUUGAGUGCAGGAGAGGAGAGUGGAAUUCCUAGUGUAGCGGUGAAAUGCGUAGAUAUUAGGAGGAACACCAGUUGCGAAGGCGGCUCUCUGGACUGUAACUGACGCUGAGGCACGAAAGCGUGGGGAGCAAACAGGAUUAGAUACCCUGGUCGUC